rnacentral:rRNA from 1 species
AUGGCUCCGCAUUACCAGGCCACCACCCUGAUUGCCUCCCCGUCCUAUCCAGAUGCCAUCACCUGGUCAAGUGACAACUUGGUGGCCGUUGCCUCUGGCCACAUCGUCACUAUCCUGAACCCAGCAGCACUUGAUGGGCCUCGCGGACUUGUUGUGCUUCGCCCCAGGGAUCCUUUUCCCAUUGGAGUGGUUAGCAGGGAAGAUCUCUUUGAACCAAGUUUAGUGCCAACAUCCUUAGCGCGUGAUACUGAACCAUGUGCACGGUCAGUUUCAUGGUCUCAACAAGGAUUUGCUCCUAAUUCUGGUUGUUUGUUGGCUGUCUGUACUGUUGAUGGUCACGUGAAUCUUUACCGUCCGCCAGUUUCUGAAUUUUGUGAUGACUGGGUUAAGGUUGCUGAUAUAUCUCAAUUGUUGUUUAACUAUUACCAAAAUAUAAACUUCGGAGAGGAUGAUGGUCCAUCAUUUCCUCAGGAAAAGGCAAAUAUUGACCACGCUCCUCAGGAAAAGUUAAAUAACAAGCACACACUGGACACAGGAUAUGCUGGUGAAUUGCAAGAACCUCUUUCUCUCAGGGGUCCUGGACGGAGAAAAAGGAAGCCAGUAAGAGUUGAAGGCUAUGUUUAUGAUGAUGAUGAUGGAGAUGAUACUUCAAAGGAUGCAGACUUCUCUCUGAAUCCAUGCCCUACAUCAACAAAGAUACCUAUGAAAAAGAUUGACAUGCCUGUGCAUGAAAUGGCUGUCGUAAUUGCGCAAGCUGGCUCACAAAAUACCAAAGAAGCAUUCUCUUGCAAUGGAGAAAACAAACUUCUUCCUCUGAUCACAGCAAAACAAUAUUCUCGUCGCAAUGCACUUUUGUCUUCUCUUGUAGUUGCAUGGUCACCAGUUUUGCCAUCACACAACACCAUUUCUCAUUGGUGCAUUCUUGCUGUGGGCUCAAAGUCUGGGGAUGUUUCAUUUUGGAAAAUAUAUAAGCCUGGGCACUACACAGUAGAUGUUUGCACUGUUACCAAAGAUCCAAUAUUCGUUGGGGUUCUUCAAGCUCAUAAUUCAUCAGUUUGUGCCAUGAGCUGGGAAGUUUCAUGUUCAAGAUCUUCAAAGUCUUCAUUGCUUUUAGCAACUGGAUGCUCGGAUGGAAGUGUGAAGAUAUGGUCAGGUGAUAUCGAAGGAUUGAAUCAAUGUACAGAUGCGAAAGAAGUGUCAUUUUCGUCAGUUGCAGAGGUGACCACUAAUUCAUCAGCUCCUGUCUCAUCAAUUUCAUUGUCCACACCAGCUCAGCCUCGACGUGAGGUUAAUUUGGCAGUUGGAAGAGUAUCUGGAUCACUGGAAACAUGCAUAUUGGACCUGUGCAGCAACAAAGUUGAGAAUAGCAGUGAAUGUCAUGCACAUGAUCGAGUGGUGACAGGUUUAUCAUGGGGUUUAGAUGGCCACUGUUUAUACAGCUGCAGUCAGGAUAAUUCUGCACGCUGUUGGAUCUUUGAAAAAAAUCAACUUGAAGAAGUUCCCGUGCACACAAAUUUCCCAGAGCUAAAGGAAUCAAUAGACCUCUCAGUGGUAUCUCAUCAAUGCUUUGGUCUUACACUUGGACCUGGAGAAGUAAUGAUUGCUGUGGUCCGCAGCUUGGAUCCAAAUAUGCUAGAUCAGAUGUAUCAAGCCAGGACACAAAAGGCAGUGGUUGAGUUCAUUUGGAUUGGUGGUCAGUUCCUUGGCAUCCCACUAAACAAGGACAUUUAUAUCUCCAACAAACAAUCUGCAAAGUCAUCCGAGACUAACUUCUUAUGGUGGGGUUCCAACAUUCUUUGGUCAUUGAAGAAUUAUGAAAAAUGUGAAACCGGACUUGUCUUAUGGGACGUCAUAGCUGCUUUACAAGUGCUCAUGAAAUCCGCACCAGCAUUUCUGGAGACACUAAUGCAUAAAUGGGUCACAGAUUUGUUUUCAGAUGAUCAGCAACGUGUUUCUAUCGAUGCACUGUGUCAGUGUAGAAAGGACAUGAUGUCCAAUGUCAGCUCGCGGAAGCUACACCUGCUGAAUAUCAUUUGUAGGAAAGUAAUGCUUCGUGAUCCUGCUGGAGAAAAUGGUAAUAGCACGUCAACUGAUUUGUGGAGCAGUCUUCUGUUGAGCAGCGAAAGAGAGCUACGAGAGAGACUUGUGGCUUUCACUUUUGCUGCUGUCUUGAAUCGAAAGUCAUAUUUUCUCAAGGGCACAUGUGCUGAAAACAUGUGGUUCCCUGUUGGCGUUGCCCAGAUGCGUUCUUGGGUGUCUAUGAACAGUGGAGGAGUACAUAAUCAGCUCAGGUCUCUCAGUUCGACAAUUAAACGUCUUGGAAGCAGGAUCAACUCUGUGUGUGAAUACUCAGCUAAAGAAACCUGUGCCUAUUGCUCCGCACCGGUUCACUUCGAGUCACCUGACAUAGCCUUGUGUGGAAGUGUCGAUCCUACUAUUGUUCCCACCGAAAGGCACAAGCUGUCAAGAUGUGCGGCAUCGAUGCGCUUAUGCUCUGUUCUGGAACCAACCUGGUACUGUGUAUGUUGUGGAGGAAUGGUUGAUAAGCUUGUGCCCGAGACCUAUUUCACCAUGAAGACAUCUCCCUUGUUGAAUGCUGCCGAUCCAGAUGUUGAAUCGUCACUUUAUUCAGCACCUGCUGUUCCUCGUUGCCCCUUCUGCGGCAUACUGCUGCAGAGGUUGAUGCCAGAGUUCCUGCUCUCCGUCUCCCCGGUAUAG